UGCUGUAAAGUCCGUUUUGCGCUUCUAUUUGUGAUGUCAUUCUCUUCUCAUCUCUUUCGCAGACCGAUCAUACAAAGCCAAUUUUUUCUUUGAGGGUUUAUUGUUACCAAUAAAUCUGUACUUGAGUUUCUCUAUUCAACUAGCUUGUAAUCGCUCAUUGCUGGCUCUGCAAUUUUGUCAUUCAUCUUUGAUCUCUCUUAGUUACUUUAUAAUCUUUUCGAUGGUGAAGACGAGGAGUAAGACGUCUUCAAGCUUAUGCUCGUUGCUCAAUUACAUCCGUAGAAAAAGUCAGUGAGGCGCGUCUAGACUUAAAACAUCCACAUCGAGAGAGGGCGAUUCAAGAUUGCAAGAAAGAUUCCCGAUUGCUCAGAAAAUAUGUGGCCGCACAUGUAAAACGGAUUUGUCAAAUUUGAAGUUAAAUAAACGUCUCUCACUAUAUUUUACCACCAAACUAUAUAUCAAUGAGCGAUGGCUCUCAGGAUCAAGUUGGAGGUACACCAGUCCCUAUUUUUCUUUGCUUAUGUAUUAUCUACAAGUGUCGAGCAACCUUUAUUUCAUAUAUACAUAGUCCUCAGGAUUUUCGUUUUAAAAGACGGAUGGCUAACCAGUUCUAGAUGAAACAAUUGCUGAUUUGUUUUCUUCCAGUGGUGAAGGCUAGUCAUUUUACAGCUUUCUGCUCUAUCAUUUACGUUUCAUGUAGAAACUAAUGUUUAAUAUUAUUUUGUACAUUGUACUUGUUUGAUAUUGACAUCAUCAUGUUAUCUCUCAUGUGAGAUUCAUGUCCAAAACUUAAAUUUUGCUGAUUUGUUUAUGAAAUUUCAUGAACUUUUUUAUGUGUUUCACUCUCUUAACUUUUCUUUCUCAUUCGUUUGACUUUUAAAAUUCCUAAGGAAUUGAACACUCUGUCUGAAGGUAAGGAGAUAAUAUUUGGCAUUCUGCAUUUUGUCACUGCAAUUUUAAUUGGUUUCCCUUUGGGUUUAGUCAUCUGCCUUGGUUUUAGGGCAUAGGUUUGAACACUCACUCAGCUGCACUCACUCCAUCGUUAAAUUGGUUUCCCUUGGGUUUAGUCAUCUGCCUUGGCUUUAGGGUAUAGUUUGAACACUCACUCUAUCGUUAAAUUUGUUUCCCUUGGGUUUAGUCAUUUGUCUUGGCUUUAGGGUAUAGUUUUGAACACUCACUCCAUCGUUAAGUUUGUUUUCCUUGGCUUUAGGGACUAGGGUAUAGUUUUGAACACUCACUCUAUCGUUAAAUUUGUUUCCCUUGGGUUUAGUCAUAUGUCUUGGCUUUAGGGUAUAGUUUUGAACACUCACUUCAUCGUUAAAUUGGUUUCCCUUGGGUUCAUUCAUCCAUCUUGGCUUUAGGGUAUAGUUAUGAUUUAUGAACACCGAAGAACAGGAGCAUACCUGGGGGAACAGGAGAGGACUAGAGGAUGCAUGUUGAUUGAGUAGGAGAGCGAGCAAUCAACUCUGCUGCCAACGAGCUGAGAAGCCGGUGUGACUUGACGAUAAAACACAUAUUAAGGUUUGUGUGGACAAAGAAACACUGAAAACAUUAUGUAUUUUAUCAAUGUAUUCUCUUGCUUCUCUUUUCAA